GGUGUUAUGGUGUAGUUGGUUAUCAUGUCAGUCUAACACACUGAAGGACUCUAGUUCAAAUCUGGGCGACGCCA